GCCCCCAUCGUCUAGAGGCCCAGGACAGCAGAUUCUCAGUCUGCAUACACCGGUUCGAAUCCGGUUGGGGGUA
rnacentral:tRNA from 1 species